CCCUUAGAUGUCCUGGGCCGCACGCGCGUUACACUGAUGCAUUCAACGAGCUUAUAACCUUGGCCGAGAGGCCUGGGCAAUCUUGUUAACGUGCAUCGUGAUAGGGAUAGAUUAUUGAAAUUAUUAAUCUUGAACGAGGAAUUCCUAGUAAACGCAGAUCAUCAAUCUGCAUUGAUUACGUCCCUGCCCUUUGUACACAUCGCCCGUCGCACCUACCGAUUGGAUGGUCCGGUGAAGCCUCGGGAUUGUGGUUCUUGCCGCUUUAUUGUAGCGUGACCGCGAGAACUUGUCUAAACCUUAUCAUCUAGAGGAAGGUGAAGUCGUAACA
rnacentral:rRNA from 1 species